rfam:Pseudozyma hubeiensis SY62 DNA, scaffold: PHS57.
GGCCGGUUGGCCCAAUGGUAAGGCGUCUGACUACGAAGUCCCUUCGGACCUUGACAAUCAGGAGAUUCUGGGUUCGAGCCCCAGGCUGGUCA